UACGUAGGGUGCAAGCGUUGUCCGGAAUUAUUGGGCGUAAAGAGCUCGUAGGCGGUCUGUCGCGUCUGCUGUGAAAACUCAGGGCUUAACCCUGAGCUUGCAGUGGGUACGGGCAGACUAGAGUGCGGUAGGGGAGACUGGAAUUCCGUGGUGAUGAGCGGUGAAAUGCGCAGAUAGUCAGGAGGAACACCGGUGGCGAAGGCGGGUCUCUGGGCCGUAACUGACGCUGGAGGAGCGAAAGCAUCGGGAGCGAACAGGAUUAGACUUACCCUU
rnacentral:rRNA from 1 species